rnacentral:rRNA from 1 species
GUAGUCCACGCCGUAAACGAUGUCGACUUGGAGGUUGUGCCCUUGAGGCGUGGCUUCCGGAGCUAACGCGUUAAGUCGACCGCCUGGGGAGUACGGCCGCAAGGUUAAAACUCAAAUGAAUUGACGGGGGCCCGCACAAGCGGUGGAGCAUGUGGUUUAAUUCGAUGCAA